CAGCGCGCCAUCAUACAUUAUCCACGUUUCACAUAACCGACCUCUCCCCAUAUUAGGGUUUCAAUCCAGUUUUACUUGAAGAAAGAUAUCAACCUCCCUAUACACCAUUCUAGGUCUAAAUCAAAGAACACAACCAUCGACCUGUCUGCUCCAUAUAUUAGGGUUUUGUUGCUUCACCAUUCCAUGCUCAGGUGUUCGAUAAAAUGCUUGUACCAGAUCGUUGAAGAAAUUGGAUUCGUUGAACAAAAAACGGCUCUAUAUUUUCCUUUGGUCAUCAGCUCGUCAAAAUUAGGGGCUUUUUUGGAUUGGAAUUUGGUGCAUUUGGAGUCAUGAGCACUGGGGAUUUCCUCAACUUUUAUUUUUCUAAACUUAAGUUUCCAUUCGUCACUGAGUUCUUAUCAUUGGGGUCUCUCGAAAGCUAUCGGAACACUCUAGUUAAUUAACUAUAUUUAAAAAUAGAUAAAUGGAUGAGAAGUUUUGUUGGUCAACCAAAAGAAGCAGCCAUGCCCGAGCAGCCGCAUAGUCGAUAUA